rnacentral:rRNA from 1 species
UACGUAGGGUGCAAGCGUUGUUCGGAGUUACUGGGCGUAAAGAGUGCGUAGGCGGUUUUCUAAGUUUGGUGUGAAAUCUCCCGGCUCAACUGGGAGGGUGCGCCGAAGACUGGAAGGCUUGAGUAUGGGAGAGGUAAGCGGAAUUCCUGGUGUAGCGGUGAAAUGCGUAGAUAUCAGGAGGAACACCUGCGGUGUAGACGGCUUACUGGACCAUAACUGACGCUGAGGCACGAAAGCGUGGGUAGCAAACAGG